rnacentral:rRNA from 1 species
AGUGAACGCUGGCGGUAGGCCUAACACAUGCAAGUCGAACGGCAGCACAGUAAGAGCUUGCUCUUACGGGUGGCGAGUGGCGGACGGGUGAGGAAUACAUCGGAAUCUACUUUUUCGUGGGGGAUAACGUAGGGAAACUUACGCUAAUACCGCAUACGACCUACGGGUGAAAGCAGGGGAUCUUCGGACCUUGCGCGAUUGAAUGAGCCGAUGUCGGAUUAGCGAGUUGGCGGGGUAAAGGCCCACCAAGGCGACGAUCCGUAGCUGGUCUGAGAGGAUGAUCAGCCACACUGGAACUGAGACACGGUCCAGACUCCUACGGGAGGCAGCAGUGGGGAAUAUUGGACAAUGGGCGCAAGCCUGAUCCAGCCAUACCGCGUGGGUGAAGAAGGCCUUCGGGUUGUAAAGCCCUUUUGUUGGGAAAGAAAAGCAGCAGGUUAAUACCCCGCUGUUCUGACGGUACCCAAAUAAUAAGCACCGGCUAACUUCGUG